UGAGUAACACGUAUCCAACCUGCCGUCUACUCUUGGACAGCCUUCUGAAAGGAAGAUUAAUACAAGAUGGCAUCAUGAGUCCGCAUGUUCACAUGAUUAAAGGUAUUCCGGUAGACGAUGGGGAUGCGUUCCAUUAGAUAGUAGGCGGGGUAACGGCCCACCUAAUCUUCGAUGGAUAGGGGUUCUGAGAGGAAGGUCCCCCACAUUGGAACUGAGACACGGUCCAA
rnacentral:rRNA from 1 species